CUAAUCGUCCCAUCGUGUAUCCUAAUUUUAACAGUACUAAUACUGAUUAUCUUACUAGAUGAAUCGUUUCCCAUAUGCACAACUCCACCUUCAACUGAACUGUAUGUGGAGAACCAUUCUCUAUUGGGACACAUGUGGAAAGAACAUCCUGAAUCUAGGAUCCACUCAGACGUAAGCUUGGAGUUAUCGCUCGUUGACACUAACAAGAAAUCAUCAC
rnacentral:lncRNA from 1 species